AUACGGAGGGUGCAAGCGUUAAUCGGAAUUACUGGGCGUAAAGCGCGCGUAGGCGGUUUUGCAAGUCGGAUGUGAAAGCCCAGGGCUCAACCUUGGAAUUGCAUUCGAAACUGCUUGACUAGAGUAUGGUAGAGGGAAGUGGAAUUUCCGGUGUAGCGGUGAAAUGCGUAGAUAUCGGAAGGAACACCAGUGGCGAAGGCGACUUCCUGGGCCAAUACUGACGCUCAGGUGCGAAAGCGUGGGGAGCAAACAGGAUUAGAUACCCCGGUAGUCC
rnacentral:rRNA from 1 species